rnacentral:tRNA from 1 species
UUAAGGCGUGGGAUUUGAGUCCCCAUGGGCUAGCCCGCAUCUGUUCAAAUCCGGUUGGUGUCG